rnacentral:rRNA from 1 species
AGUAGACGCGAAACCAAGUGAUCUACCCUUGGUCAGGUUGAAGGUUGGGUAACACUAACUGGAGGACCGAACCGACUAAUGUUGAAAAAUUAGCGGAUGACUUGUGGCUGGGGGUGAAAGGCCAAUCAAACCGGGAGAUAGCUGGUUCUCCCCGAAAGCUAUUUAGGUAGCGCCUCGUGAAUUCAUCUCCGGGGGUAGAGCACUGUUUCGGCAAGGGGGUCAUCCCGACUUACCAACCCGAUGCAAACUGCGAAUACCGGAGAAUGUUAUCACGGGAGACACACGGCGGGUGCUAACGUCCGUCGUGAAGAGGGAAACAACCCAGACCGCCAGCUAAGGUCCCAAAGUCAUGGUUAAGUGGGAAACGAUGUGGGAAGGCCCAGACAGCCAGGAUGUUGGCUUAGAAGCAGCCAUCAUUUAAAGAAAGCGUAAUAGCUCACUGGUCGAGUCGGCCUGCGCGGAAGAUGUAACGGGGCUAAACCAUGCACCGAAGCUGCGGCAGCGACGCUUAUGCGUUGUUGGGUAGGGGAGCGUUCUGUAAGCCUGCGAAGGUGUGCUGUGAGGCAUGCUGGAGGUAUCAGAAGUGCGAAUGCUGACAUAAGUAACGAUAAAGCGGGUGAAAAGCCCGCUCGCCGGAAGACCAAGGGUUCCUGUCCAACGUUAAUCGGGGCAGGGUGAGUCGACCCCUAAGGCGAGGCCGAAAGGCGUAGUCGAUGGGAAACAGGUUAAUAUUCCUGUACUUGGUGUUACUGCGAAGGGGGGACGGAGAAGGCUAUGUUGGCCGGGCGACGGUUGUCCCGGUUUAAGCGUGUAGGCUGGUUUUCCAGGCAAAUCCGGAAAAUCAAGGCUGAGGCGUGAUGACGAGGCACUACGGUGCUGAAGCAACAAAUGCCCUGCUUCCAGGAAAAGCCUCUAAGCAUCAGGUAACAUCAAAUCGUACCCCAAACCGACACAGGUGGUCAGGUAGAGAAUACCAAGGCGCUUGAGAGAACUCGGGUGAAGGAACUAGGCAAAAUGGUGCCGUAACUUCGGGAGAAGGCACGCUGAUAUGUAGGUGAAGUCCCUCGCGGAUGGAGCUGAAAUCAGUCGAAGAUACCAGCUGGCUGCAACUGUUUAUUAAAAACACAGCACUCUGCAAAGACGAAAGUCGACGUAUAGGGUGUGAUGCCUGCCCGGUGCUGGAAGAUUAAGUGAUGGGGUGAGAGCUCCUGAUCGAAGUCCCAGUAAACGGCGGCCGUAACUAUAACGGUCCUAAGGUAGCGAAAUUCCUUGUCGGGUAAGUUCCGACCUGCACGAAUGGCAUAAUGAUGGCCACACUGUCUCCUCCCGAGACUCAGUGAAGUUGAAAUGUUUGUGAUGAUGCAAUCUCCCCGCGGCUAGACGGAAAGACCCCAUGAACCUUUACUGUAGCUUUGCAUUGGACUUUGAACCGAUUUGUGUAGGAUAGGCGGGAGGCAAAGAAAGCGCAACGCCAGUUGUGCCGGAGCCGACGUUGAAAUACCGCCCUGAUUUGUUUGAGGUUCUAACCGCGACCCGUGAGCCGGGUCCGGGACCGUGCAUGGCAGGCAGUUUGACUGGGGCGGUCUCCUCCUAAAGGGUAACGGAGGAGUACAAAGGUACGCUAGGUACGGUCGGAAAUCGUGCUGAUAGUGCAAAGGCAAAAGCGUGCUUGACUGCGAGAGCAACAACUCGAGCAGAUGCGAAAGCAGGUCAUAGUGAUCCGGUGGCUCUGAAUGGAAGGGCCAUCGCUCAACGGAUAAAAGGUACUCUGGGGAUAACAGGCUGAUACCGCCCAAGAGUUCAUAUCGACGGCGGUGUUUGGCACCUCGAUGUCGGCUCAUCACAUCCUGGGGCUGAAGUAGGUCCCAAGGGUAUGGCUGUUCGCCAUUUAAAGUGGUACGCGAGCUGGGUUUAGAACGUCGUGAGACAGUUCGGUCCCUAUCUGCCGUGGGCGCUGGAGAACUGAGGGGGGCUGCUCCUAGUACGAGAGGACCGGAGUGGACGCAUCACUGGUGUUCGGGUUGUCAUGCCAAUGGCACUGCCCGGUAGCUAAAUGCGGAAGAGAUAAGUGCUGAAAGCAUCUAAGCACGAAACUUGCCCCGAGAUGAGUUCUCCCUGACCCUUUAAGGGUCCUGAAGGAACGUUGAAGACGACGACGUUGAUAGGCCGGGUGUGUAAGCGCAGCGAUGCGUUGAGCUAACCGGUACUAAUGAACCGUGAGGCUUAACCUU